AGGGUUUGAUUCUGGCUCAGGACGAACGCUGGCGGCGUGCUUAACACAUGCAAGUCGAACGGAGCACCCUUGACGGAGUUUUCGGACAACAGAUAGGAAUGCUUAGUGGCGGACUGGUGAGUAACGCGUGAGGAACCUGCCUUUCAGAGGGGGACAACAGUUGGAAACGACUGCUAAUACCGCAUGACGCAGCGAGGGGGCAUCCCUUUGCUGCCAAAGAUUUAUCGCUGAAAGAUGGCCUCGCGUCUGAUUAGCUUGUUGGUGAGGUAACGGCCCACCAAGGCGACGAUCAGUAGCCGGACUGAGAGGUUGGCCGGCCACAUUGGGACUGAGAUACGGCCCAG
rnacentral:rRNA from 1 species